AUUGAACGCUGGCGGCAGGCCUAACACAUGCAAGUCGAGCGGAUGAGUGGAGCUUGCUCCAUGAUUCAGCGGCGGACGGGUGAGUAAUGCCUAGGAAUCUGCCUGGUAGUGGGGGACAACGUUUCGAAAGGAACGCUAAUACUGCAUACGUCCUACGGGAGAAAGUGGGGGAUCUUCGGACCUCACGCUAUCAGAUGAGCCGGGGUCGGAUUAGCUAGUUGGUGAGGUAAAGGCUCACCAAGGCGACGAUCCGUAACUGGUCUGAGAGGAUGAUCAGUCACACUGGAACUGAGACACGGUCCAGACUCCUACGGGAGGCAGCAGUGGGGAAUAUUGGACAAUGGGCGAAAGCCUGAUCCAGCCAUGCCGCGUGUGUGAAGAAGGUCUUCGGAUUGUAAAGCACUUUAAGUUGGGAGGAAGGGCAGUAAGUUAAUACCUUGCUGUUUUGACGUUACCAACAGAAUAAGCACCGGCUAACUUCGUGCCAGCCGCCGCUGUAACAC
rnacentral:rRNA from 1 species